UCGAAGCCUCGAAAGUGACCCAAGGCGUC
rnacentral:sRNA from 1 species